AAAUUUGAAAUCUGGCUCCUUCGGGGUCCGAGUUGUAAUUUGCAGAGGAUGCGUCGGGUACGGGUGCCUUCCGAGUUCCCUGGAACGGGACGCCAUAGAGGGUGAGAGCCCCGUCUGGUAGGACACCCAGCCCGUGUGACGCUCCCUCGACGAGUCGAGUAGUUUGGGAAUGCUGCUCUAACGGGAGGUAUACUCCUUCCAAGGCUAAAUACCGGCUGGAGACCGAUAGCGCACAAGUAGAGUGAUCGAAAGAUGAAAAGCACUUUGAAAAGAGAGUCAAACAGCACGUGAAAUUGUUAAAAGGGAAGCGCUCGCUACCAGACUUGGGUUCGGCGGUUCAACCGGGGCCACGCCCCGGGGCAUUCCGCCGGCCCAGGCCAGCAUCAGCUUUCCGUCGGGGGUAAAGGCGUCGGGAAUGUGGCUCCCCUUCGGGGGAGUGUUAUAGCCCGUCGUGUCAUACCCUUCGGGGGGCUGAGGUACGCGCUUCUGCAAGGAUGCUGGCGUAAUGGUAGCUAGUGACCCGUCUUGAAACACGGACCAAGGAGUCAACCUUAUGUGCGAGUGCCCGGGCGUAAAACCCCAGCGCGGAAUGGAAAGUGAACGUAGGGUGAGAGCUUCGGCGCAUCACCGACCGAUCCUGAUGUCCUCGGACGGAUUUGAGUGAGAGCAUAUAGGGUUGGACCCGAAAGAAGAUGAACUAUGCGUGUGUAGGGUGAAGCCAGAGGAAACUCUGGUGGAGGCUCGCAGCGGUUCUGACGUGCAAAUCGAUCGUCAAACAUGCGCAUGGGGGCGAAAGACUAAUCGAAUCUUCUGGUAGCUG
rnacentral:rRNA from 1 species